rnacentral:lncRNA from 1 species
GGGGCUUUAUACCCUCAUAUCAGCCAGCCCUUGGCUGUAGGCCACAAAAGGUGGUGGGGCAUUGUUUCCCAGGCAUUUCUGGAUAAUGCAGCAACUAGUGGCCCAAGAAAGUUUUCCAAAAUUGAGUACAGCUGUGAGCCUGUAUCAAUCAGCCACACUGGCAGCAGCUUGAAGAUUGAUGCAUUGACCUGGAAAAGGGGGUAGGAUGGGUGGGCCAUUGGUAGCAUUUAUUGGAUUCCAUACCUUCCACUGCUCAGAUCAGCUUGCCAUUCACAGUGGGUUCACUAUUCCCAGUCACAGCUUCUCUAGGAUUCUGGUUGAUCACAAUUUCUGGGGUAUUGAUCCCAAUGGCAUUUCCUAAUAAACACCCUGAACCCUAGACUCCAAUCCACUGUACUUCCUAGAAAAUCCAAACUGCAAGAAUU